GACGAACGCUGGCGGCGUGCUUAACACAUGCAAGUCGAACGCUGAACCCGCUUCGGUGGGGGAUGAGUGGCGGACGGGUGAGUAACACGGAGGCAACCUGCCCCCGCCUCUGUGAUAACUCCAAGAAAUUGGGGCUAAUACCGGAUGUGACCGCUCGCCGCAUGGUUUGGAGGUGGAAAGGGUUUCCGGCUGGGGAUGGUCCCGCGGCCGAUGAGCUUGUUGGUGGUGUAGUGGCCUACCAACCCGACGGCGGGUAGCCGGCCUGAGAGGGGGACCGGCCACACUGGGACUGAGAGACGGCCCAGACUGCUACGGGAGGCAGCAGGGGGGAAUAUUGCGCAAUGGGCGGAAGCCUGAUGCAGCGACGCCGCGUGUGGGAUGACGGCCUUCGGGUUGUAAACCUCUUUCAGCUGGGACGAAGCGUGAGUGACGGUACCUGCAGAAGAAGCACCGGCCAACUACGUG
rnacentral:rRNA from 1 species